AUUCACAGCCUUACCACCCUGGCCACACCCGAUCUUCUGAAGUUGAGCAGGAUUUGGCCUUAUUAUUCCUUGAAUGGGAGUCUACCUGGUGCUGUAAAUU
rnacentral:rRNA from 1 species